CAAUAGCGUAUAUUAAAGUUGUUGCAGUUAAAAAGACUCGUAGUUGGAUUUCUGGGAGGGUGCCAAUGUCCGUCGUCGUACGUGUUGCAGCGGCGCCCUUCCAUCCUUCUGUUAACGACUUUGGGCAUUCAUUUGCCGGAGUCGGGCUCAGGAUAUUUUACCUUGAGAAAAUUAGAGUAGUUUCAGGCAGGCUAGGCCGGAAUACAUUAGCAUGGAAUAAUGGAAUAGGACUAACGGUCUCUUUGUUGGUUUGAGGGACUGCAGGUAAUGAUUAAUAGGGAUAGUUGGGGCGAUUAGUACGUUAACUGUCAGAGGUGGAAUUCUCAGAUUUGUUAAAGACUGACUU
rnacentral:rRNA from 1 species